rnacentral:rRNA from 1 species
CCUACGGGGGGCUGCAGUGGGGAAUAUUGGACAAUGGGGGGAACCCUGAUCCAGCCAUGCCGCGUGUGUGAAGAAGGCCCUCGGGUUGUAAAGCACUUUCAGUGAGGAAGAACGCCUGGUGGUUUAUACCCAUCAGGAAAGACAUCACUCACAGAAGAAGCACCGGCUAACUCCGUGCCAGCAGCCGCGGUAAUACGGAGGGUGCGAGCGUUAAUCGGAAUUACUGGGCGUAAAGCGCGCGUAGGUGGCUUGAUAAGCCGGUUGUGAAAGCCCCGGGCUCAACCUGGGAACGGCAUCCGGAACUGUCAAGCUAGAGUGCAGGAGAGGAAGGUAGAAUUCCCGGUGUAGCGGUGAAAUGCGUAGAGAUCGGGAGGAAUACCAGUGGCGAAGGCGGCCUUCUGGACUGACACUGACACUGAGGUGCGAAAGCGUGGGUAGCAAACAGGAUUAGAUACCCGGGUAGUC